UACGUAGGGUGCGAGCGUUGUCCGGAUUUAUUGGGCGUAAAGAGCUCGUAGGCGGCUUGUCGCGUCGGAUGUGAAAGCCCGGGGCUUAACUCCGGGUCUGCAUUCGAUACGGGCAGGCUAGAGUGUGGUAGGGGAGAUCGGAAUUCCUGGUGUAGCGGUGAAAUGCGCAGAUAUCAGGAGGAACACCGGUGGCGAAGGCGGGUCUCUGGGCCGUAACUGACGCUGAGGAGCGAAAGCAUGGGGAGCGAACAGG
rnacentral:rRNA from 1 species